rnacentral:rRNA from 1 species
GACGAACGCUGGCGGAGUGCCUAAUACAUGCAAGUCGAGCGAACCAAUAAGAAGCUUGCUUUUUGUUGGUUAGCGGCGGACGGGUGAGUAACACGUGGGUAACCUGCCUGUAAAACCGGGAUAACUCCGGGAAACCGGUGCUAAUACCGGAUAGAUUAUCUUUCCGCCUGGAGAGAUAAGGAAAGAUGGCUUUUGCCAUCACUUACAGAUGGGCCCGCGGCGCAUUAGCUAGUUGGUGAGGUAACGGCUCACCAAGGCGACGAUGCGUAGCCGACCUGAGAGGGUGAUCGGCCACACUGGGACUGAGACACGGCCCAGACUCCUACGGGAGGCAGCAGUAAGGAAUCUUCCGCAAUGGACGAAAGUCUGACGGAGCAACGCCGCGUGAGCGAAGAAGGUCUUCGGAUCGUAAAGCUCUGUUGUUAGGGAAGAACAAGUAUCGGAGGAAAUGCCGGUACCUUGACGGUA